rnacentral:rRNA from 1 species
CCUACGGGAGGCAGCAGUGAGGAAUAUUGGUCAAUGGACGAGAGUCUGAACCAGCCAAGUAGCGUGAAGGAUGACUGCCCUAUGGGUUGUAAACUUCUUUUAUAUGGGAAUAAAAUGUUCCACGUGUGGGAUUUUGUAUGUACCUUAUGAAUAAGGAUCGGCUAACUCCGUGCCAGCAGCCGCGGUAAUCCGGAGGAUCCGAGCGUUAUCCGGAUUUUUUGGGUUUAAAGGGAGCGUAGGUGGAUUGUUAAGUCAGUUGUGAAAGUUUGGGGCUCAACCGUAAAAUUGCAGUUGAAACUGGCAGUCUUGAGUACAGUAGAGGUGGGCGGAAUUCGUGGUGUAGCGGUGAAAUGCUUAGAUAUCACGAAGAACUCCGAUUGCGAAGGCAGCUCACUGGACUGCAACUGACACUGAGGCUCGAAAGUGUGGGUAUCAAACAGGAUUAGAUACCCCAGUAGUC